GGUUAAUUGCUUUGCUCAACACCGGGUGACUCUGGGGGUCCGGAGAGUCACCUAGAAGUCAGCUCAGAGACAGGAGUGACAUUCAGAAGUGUCCGCUGCUGCUGUGGACCAACUGCUUCAAGGUUUGUGGCUUCAAAUUGCUGAGAUCCAAAACUCCCAGGGGCCCAGUGAUUGACAGCUCAGAAGGAAGGAAGGUC